rnacentral:tRNA from 1 species
GCCCGAGUAGCUCAGGGGUAGAGCGCAUCCUUGGUAAGGAUGAGGUCAUGGGUUCAAAUCCCAUCUUGGGCUCCA